UGCCAGCAGCCGCGGUAAUACGGAGGGGGCAAGCGUUGCUCGGAAUUACUGGGCGUAAAGCGAGCGUAGGCGGUUAGUCAAGUUGGUGGUGAAAGCCCAGAGCUCAACUCUGGAACUGCCAUCAAAACUGACUUACUUGAGAUUGGUAGAGGGAAAUGGAAUUCCUAGUGUAGAGGUGAAAUUCGUAGAUAUUUGGAGGAACACCAGUGGCGAAGGCGGCUCACUGGCUCGAUACUGACGCUGAGGUACGAAAGUGUGGGGAGCAAACAGGAUUAGAUA
rnacentral:rRNA from 1 species